CAAUAAAAAUGAUUUUUAGGUUCUUAUAAGAUUAAGUAUAUAAGAUUAAAAGGGAAAGUAGUGAAAAUCUACUACAGCCCCCGCUACUGUAAUGGAAGACUAAUCUCUAAGUUUAUAUAAGAUAAUAAGUAUUAAUGGUUAAUUUAAUCUUUAUUAUCUUAUAUGCUAAACAUCCACUGAGAAAGCUGUUCUUGGGAAGGAAGAGAUGAAGGAUGAUGCCAGAGUCAGGAGACCUGCCUAAAUAUUUUAACGUAG
rnacentral:ncRNA from 2 species